rnacentral:rRNA from 1 species
GACGAACGCUGGCGGCGUGCUUAACACAUGCAAGUCGAACGGAAAGGCCCUGCUUUUGUGGGGUGCUCGAGUGGCGAACGGGUGAGUAACACGUGAGUAACCUGCCCUUGACUUUGGGAUAACUUCAGGAAACUGGGGCUAAUACCGGAUAGGAGCUCCUGCUGCAUGGUGGGGGUUGGAAAGUUUCGGCGGUUGGGGAUGGACUCGCGGCUUAUCAGCUUGUUGGUGGGGUAGUGGCUUACCAAGGCUUUGACGGGUAGCCGCCCUGCGAGGGUGACCGGCCACAUUGGGACUGGGGAGCGGCCCGGACUGCUACGGGGGGCAGCGGUGGGGAAUUUUGCACGAUGGGCGGAAGCCUGAUGCAGCAACGCCGCGUGCGAGAUGACGGCCUUCAGGUUGUAAACCGCUUUCGCCUGUGACGAAGCGUGAGUGACGGUAAUGGGUAAAGAAGCACCGGCUAACUACGUG